UAGCCAGGUGUGGUGGCACACGCCUGUAGUGGUGGUGCAUGCCUGUAGUCCCAGCUACUCAAGAGGCUGAGGCAGGAGAAUCACUUGAACUGGGAGAUGGAGGUUGCAGUGAGCUGAGAUCGCACCAGUGCACUCCAGCCUGGGCAACAGAGUGAGACUCCAUCUUAUAAAAGGAAAAAAGAAGAAAAGAAAAAUUCCAUAUCUGAGUGUUUACUCCUGAGUUUUUGAGAUUGUUAUUAAGAUCGUGCUCUACUGUGAUGAUUUGGGUUUGUUUGAUAAUCAGAAAAAAGCAUAUUCUUUUGGGUGUUCAGCCACACUGCUUUGGUGUCACAACUGCACAUUGGUUUCACAGCUGCAGGACAAAUUCGAGCAUCUUAAAAUGAUUCAACAGGAGGAGAUAAGGAAGCUCGAGGAAGAGAAAAACAACUGGAAGGAGAAAUCAUAGAUUUUUAUAAAAUGAAAGCUGCCUCUGAAGCACCGCAGACUCAGCUGAGCACUGAUACAAAGAAAGACAAACAUCUGGUUUUUGGCAAAUUUGUCAUAUCAAGAAGCACUUUCAGACACACAAGUUGCUAUAGUUAAUAUUUUAUCUUCAACUUCCGGACUUUUUACCUUAAUCCUUGCUGCAGUAUUUCCAAGUAACAGUGGAGAUAGAUUUACCCUUUCUAAACUAUUAGCUGUAAC